GCUCCGCUCCAAUGAGGCGAUCGAAGAAGAAGAUCAAUGGAGAAUAGCCUAAAGAGUUUGUCUUCUGAGUUCUAAAAUCCCUGAAUCAAAGCCACCAAUGUAUGUAGGAGAAGUUUGCAGUUCGGAAUCAAGCUGUGUCUCGAUCCUCCUAUUCGGUAAAACAAAACCAAAUGGAUGUUAUCCGGUGAUUUCCAAAAUAUACAUUUCUCCAUAAAUUAGCUCCUAGGGCUUCUAGAUCGAUUCUUCAAUGGUCGCUCCACCUGCAACAGCUUGUGCUGAUUACGAUUAUCUUAUAAUACUCCUCCUAAUUGGCGACUGCGUGAGGCUAAGGUGCAACAGAAUUUAUCCUGACGACCAUUCCUUAAAAUCGAGCUUGUAUGUAAUUGGCAGUCUCUUCCUUUUUUCAGGCUUUUGCAAAUUGAUUCAAUUAAAUGUUACCCCUUAAGCUUGUAUGAAGACAAAUUACACCGGCUCAUUGGUUUAACUAAAGGGAUGCUAUAUCAGCAUAUAAAGCUGAGGCUCUGUCAUUGUAAAAUCAGCUUAGACAAUUGCAGACUCAAUAUGAUAUGCUCACUGGACAUGCUUCAACGUUGAUUCAAGGAAGAAGGGCACGAGUUGCUGCAAGAUCUGUUCAAGGAUGAUAGACUAUCAGUCAGAAAUUUUGAGGUAUACAGUAUAUUUAAUAAUUUAGAAGUAUGUGCAUAAGUUGGUUUUUGAAAGGGUAAAAGGUAAUAUCACUAUAUUUAUUGCAGGAUGAAAAGAAAGUUAAGUAUGGUGAAAAAUGAUGAGAUAAGUUGUUUUAAACCGUUGAAAUAUUGUUGUUACUCAAAAAUAGAUCUAAUUGUAUAUUGAUUAUGGGUUGAUGAAUUUUGUAGCACCUGUACUUUGUUAUGGAUGAAAUGUGAUGUGUAGUUGGCAUAAUAUUCUGUUAGCAAACCUUGAUUACUGGCAUAGUUUAGUUAAAUAUAUAACAAUGGUUUGAUGUUA